UCNCCAACGAAAGCUUUAGAGUGACUCGA
rnacentral:piRNA from 1 species